AUGACUACAACAAGAUCUCCUUCAAGGAGCAGGUGCCCGUGCCCUUGGAGGAGGUGCUGCUGGAUGCCUCUCCCCAGGCUUUGGUCUUUCUGGGGAGGUUCCUCCUCUACCCUCCACUCCAGCGCAUUGCAGCCUCCCAGUUUCCUCAGGAACCGUUUUUUAACGGCUGGCGCAGCUGCUUCCCUAACUGGGGUCUGCAGUGCAGGCGUGGUGUCUCUGCACUGCGCCCUGCAAGCAACUGAAACCCGGCCAAGCACAAAGGAAAAGAAAAGCUCCCUCCCAUCAUCAACUCAAGACCUAAGAUACCGGAAAAGCAUCUCUUCUCUCCUCCUUUUUCUUCCUCUGGCUGGUCCUGACCAGAGGGCCCUAGUGAGAGCGGCUCCUGAUAAUGUCAGGAUCUUCUUCGGAACCUGCAGCAUAAUUCAUUUUCCCCGGAAUGGAUGUGGAGCCUCCCCGUACUUCCAAAUUGGGCUGCACCAACUCUGAGACUUCUGUGUUCCAUUUUCUCAACGCUCCAAUGAAUUGUCAAGACAAAGCUUUGUGUCAAGAUAGAGAAGCGUCUUUUCCCAGGCCUGCAUUUCUGGCUGGGAAACAGGAGCCCAAAUCCUAAAUGUGUCUAUUUGGUCAGCUUACAGUCCAAACAGCG
rnacentral:lncRNA from 1 species